UUUUGGUUUGUGGAAUGUUACUUACCUCUUGGGUGUCAGAUUGCUGAAAAGUAACUUUUAGUAUUUAGUUUACUUUGAAUUGUCCUUAUGAAUGUAAUAUUGGUAAUCUGGUAGGGUUUAGGCAAACUAAUGUGAUUGGUGAACGGUUAGGAAUGAGCUGGAUAAAAGCUUGUUUUUAUUUGUUUAUAAAGUUAAAUAAAUGAGUUUGAACGAAAAAUUUAAAACUUGUUUAAUAAAUGAAUGAACAUGAAUAUUAUGAGUUUCGCUCGACUUUUCAUGAACAUGUUCGUUUAAGAGUUCAUAAACAUGUUUACUUAAAGCUCAUUUAUGUUUAUUCAUAUAAAGCAUAUUAUAUUUAUUAUAUAAAAUAUAGAUUAUUUAAAAAUUUUGAAAAUUUUUAAUUCAGAAUUGGA
rnacentral:misc_RNA from 1 species